rnacentral:rRNA from 1 species
AUACGUAGGGUGCAAGCGUUAAUCGGAAUUACUGGGCGUAAAGCGUGCGCAGGCGGUUCGGAAAGAAGGAUGUGAAAUCCCAGGGCUCAACCUUGGAACUGCAUUCUUAACUACCGAACUAGAGUAUGUCAGAGGGGGGUAGAAUUCCGCGUGUAGCAGUGAAAUGCGUAGAUAUGCGGAGGAAUACCGAUGGCGAAGGCAGCCCCCUGGGAUAAUACUGACGCUCAUGCACGAAAGCGUGGGUAGCAAACAGGAUUAGAUACCCUGGUAGUCCACGCCCUAAACGAUGUCAACUAGCUGUUGGGCCCUUCGGGGCUUAGUAGCGUAGCUAACGCGUGAAGUUGACCGCCUGGGGAGUACGGUCGCAAGAUUAAAACUCAAAUGAAUUGACGGGG